GGAUUGUAGCCCAGUGGUGGAGCGCUUGCUUAGCAUGUGUGUGAGGUACUGGGUUCGAUUCUCAGCACCA
rnacentral:tRNA from 1 species